rnacentral:rRNA from 1 species
UGGGGAAUUUUUCCGCAAUGGGCGAAAGCCUGACGGAGCAAUGCCGCGUGGAGGUGGAAGGCCUACGGGUCGUCAACUUCUUUUCUCGGAGAAGAAACAAUGACGGUAUCUGAGGAAUAAGCAUCGGCUAACUCUGUGCUAG